AGCGAACGCUGGCGGCAGGCCUAACACAUGCAAGUCGAACGAAGUCUUCGGACUUAGUGGCGGACGGGUGAGUAACACGUGGGAACGUGCCUUUAGGUUCGCACUAACUCAGUGAAACUUGUGCUACUACCGACUGUGCCCUUCGGGCGCAGGAUUUAUCGCCUUUAGAGCGGCCCGCGUCUGCUUAGCUCGUUGGUGAGGUAAAGGCUCACCAAGGCUACGAUCAGUAGCUGGUCUGAGAGGACGACCAGCCACAUUGGGACUGCGACACGGCCCAAACUCCUACGGGAGGCAGCAGUGGGGAAUCUUGCGCAAUGGGCGAAAGCCUGACGCAGCCAUGCCGCGUGGAUGAUGAAGGUCUUAGGAUUGUAAAAUCCUUUCACCGGUGAAGAUAAUGACUGUAGCCGGAGAAGAAGCCCCGGCUAACUUCGUGCCAGCCGCCGCUGUAAAAC
rnacentral:rRNA from 1 species